rnacentral:rRNA from 1 species
UACGUAGGUGACGAGCGUUAUCCGGAAUUACUGGGCGUAAAGCGCACGCAAGCGGUCUGUCAAGUCCGGCGUGAAAUCUCCUGGCUUAACCAGGAGCGGUCGUUGGAAACUGAUGGGCUUGAGGCGAUGAGAGGAGUGCGGAAUCCCCGGUGUAGUGGUGGAAUGCGUAGAUAUCGGGGGGAACACCAGUGGCGAAAGCGGCACUCUGGCGUCGGCCUGACGCUCAUGUGCGAAAGCGUGGGUAGCGAACGGG